rnacentral:rRNA from 1 species
AGAGGAUGGGCAUGCGGCGCAUUAGCUAGACGGCGGGGUAACGGCCCACCGUGGCGACGAUGCGUAGGGGUUCUGAGAGGAAGGUCCCCCACACUGGUACUGAGACACGGACCAGACUCCUACGGGAGGCAGCAGUGAGGAAUAUUGGUCAAUGGGAGAGAUCCUGAACCAGCCAAGCCGCGUGAGGGAAGACGGCCCUAUGGGUUGUAAACCUCUUUUGUCGGAGAACAAAACCCGGGACGUGUCCCGGACUGCGUGUAUCCGAAGAAAAAGCAUCGGCUAACUCCGUGCCAGCAGCCGCGGUAAUACGGAGGAUGCGAGCGUUAUCCGGAUUUAUUGGGUUUAAAGGGUGCGUAGGCGGUCCGUUAAGUCAGCGGUAAAAUUGCGGGGCUCAACCCCGUCGAGCCGUUGAAACUGGCAGACUUGAGUUGGCGAGAAGUACGCGGAAUGCGCGGUGUAGCGGUGAAAUGCAUAGAUAUCGCGCAGAACUCCGAUUGCGAAGGCAGCGUACCGGCGCCAGACUGACGCUGAGGCACGAAAGCGUGGGGAUCGAACAGGAUUAGAUACCCUGGUAGUCCACGCAGUAAACGAUGAAUGCUGGUUGUCCGGGUCGAAUGAGAUCUGGGCGGC